rnacentral:rRNA from 1 species
UAAUGCUUAGGAAUCUGCCUAUUAGUGGGGGACAACAUUCCGAAAGGAAUGCUAAUACCGCAUACGCCCUACGGGGGAAAGCAGGGGAUCUUCGGACCUUGCGCUAAUAGAUGAGCCUAAGUCGGAUUAGCUAGUUGGUGGGGUAAAGGCCUACCAAGGCGACGAUCUGUAGCGGGUCUGAGAGGAUGAUCCGCCACACUGGGACUGAGACACGGCCCAGACUCCUACGGGAGGCAGCAGUGGGGAAUAUUGGACAAUGGGCGAAGCCUGAUCCAGCCAUGCCGCGUGUGUGAAGAAGGCCUUUUGGUUGUAAGCACUUUAAGCGAGGAGGAGGCUACUUUAGUUAAUACCUAGGAUAGUGGACGUUACUCGCAGAAUAAGCACCGGCUAACUCUGUGCCAGCAGCCGCGGUAAUACAGAGGGUGCGAGCGUUAAUCGGAUUUACUGGGCGUAAAGCGCGCGUAGGCGGCUUUUUAAGUCGGAUGUGAAAUCCCGAGCUUAACUUAGGAAUUGCAUUCGAUACUGGGAAGCUAGAGUGUAUGGGAGAGGAUGGUAGAAUUCCAGGUGUAGCGGUGAAAUGCGUAGAGAUCUGGAGGAAUACCGAUGGCGAAGGCAGCCAUCUGGCCUAACACUGACGCUGAGGUACGAAAGCAUGGGAGCAAACAGGAUUAGAUACCCUGGUAGUCCAUGCCGUAAACGAUGUCUACUAGCCGUUGGGGCCUUUGAGGCUUUAGUGGCGCAGCUAACGCGAUAAGUAGACCGCCUGGGGAGUACGGUCGCAAGACUAAAACUCAAAUGAAUUGACGGGGGCCCGCACAAGCGGUGGAGCAUGUGGUUUAAUUCGAUGCAACGCGAAGAACCUUACCUGGCCUUGACAUAGUAAGAACUUUCCAGAGAUGGAUUGGUGCCUUCGGGAACUUACAUACAGGUGCUGCAUGGCUCGUCAGCUCGUGUCGUGAGAUGUUGGGUUAAGUCCCGCAACGAGCGCAACCCUUUUCCUUAUUUGCCAGCGGGUUAAUGUCGGGAACUUUAAGGAUACUGCCAGUGACAAACUGGAGGAAGGCGGGGACGACGUCAAGUCAUCAUGGCCCUUACGGCCAGGGCUACACACGUGCUACAAUGGUCGGUACAAAGGGUUGCUACCUAGCGAUAGGAUGCUAAUCUCAAAAAGCCGAUCGUAGUCCGGAUGGAGUCUGCAACUCGACUCCAUGAAGUCGGAAUCGCUAGUAAUCGCGGAUCAGAAUGCCGCGGUGAAUACGUUCCCGGGCCUUGUACACACCGCCCGUCACACCAUGGGUUUGUUGCACCAGAAGUAGGUAGUCUAACCGCAAGGAGGACGCUUACCACGGUGUGGCCGAUGACUGGGGUGAAGUCGUAACAAGGUAGCCGUAGGGGAACCUGCGGCUG